UGAACUAAAAUUUAUUGCAUUGGACCUGGAU
rnacentral:piRNA from 1 species